rnacentral:rRNA from 1 species
UACGGGGGGGGCAAGCGUUGUUCGGAAUUACUGGGCGUAAAGGGCUCGUAGGCGGCCAACUAAGUCAGACGUGAAAUCCCUCGGCUUAACCGGGGAACUGCGUCUGAUACUGGAUGGCUUGAGUUUGGGAGAGGGAUGCGGAAUUCCAGGUGUAGCGGUGAAAUGCGUAGAUAUCUGGAGGAACACCGGUGGCGAAGGCGGCAUCCUGGACCAAUACUGACGCUGAGGAGCGAAAGCGUGGGGAGCAAACAGG